CCUACGGGGGGCAGCAGUCGAGAAUCAUUCACAAUGGGGGAAACCCUGAUGGUGCGACGCCGCGUGGGGGAAUGAAGGUCUUCGGAUUGUAAACCCCUGUCAUGUGGGAGCAAAUUAAAAAGAUAGUACCACAAGAGGAAGAGACGGCUAACUCUGUGCCAGCAGCCGCGGUAAUACAGAGGUCUCAAGCGUUGUUCGGAAUCACUGGGCGUAAAGCGUGCGUAGGCUGUUUCGUAAGUCGUGUGUGAAAGGCGCGGGCUUAACCCGCGGACGGCACAUGAUACUGCGAGACUAGAGUGAUGGAGGGGGACCCGGAAUGCUCGGUGUAGCAGUGAAAUGCGUAGAUAUCGGGAGGAACACUCGUGGCGAAGGCGGGUUCCUGGACAUUAACUGACGCUGAGGCACGAAGGCCAGGGGAGCGAAAGGGAUUAGAUACCCUGGUAGUC
rnacentral:rRNA from 1 species